AGUGAACGCUGGCGGUAGGCCUAACACAUGCAAGUCGAACGGCAGCACAGCAAGAGCUUGCUCUUACGGGUGGCGAGUGGCGGACGGGUGAGGAAUACAUCGGAAUCUACUUUUUCGUGGGGGAUAACGUAGGGAAACUUACGCUAAUACCGCAUACGACCUACGGGUGAAAGCAGGGGAUCUUCGGACCUUGCGCGAUUGAAUGAGCCGAUGUCGGAUUAGCUAGUUGGCGGGGUAAAGGCCCACCAAGGCGACGAUCCGUAGCUGGUCUGAGAGGAUGAUCAGCCACACUGGAACUGAGACACGGUCCAGACUCCUACGGGAGGCAGCAGUGGGGAAUAUUGGACAAUGGGCGCAAGCCUGAUCCAGCCAUACCGCGUGGGUGAAGAAGGCCUUCGGGUUGUAAAGCCCUUUUGUUGGGAAAGAAAAGCAGCAGGUUAAUACCCCGCUGUUCUGUCGGUACCCAAAGAAUAAGCACCGGCUAACUUCGUG
rnacentral:rRNA from 1 species